rnacentral:rRNA from 1 species
UACAGAGGGGGGCAAGCGUUGUUCGGAAUUACUGGGCGUAAAGGGCGCGUAGGCGGCCUGCUAAGUCGAACGUGAAAUCCCCGGGCUCAACCCGGGAACUGCGUCCGAUACUGACAGGCUUGAAUCCGGGAGAGGGAUGUGGAAUUCCAGGUGUAGCGGUGAAAUGCGUAGAUAUCUGGAGGAACACCGGUGGCGAAGGCGGCAUCCUGGACCGGUAUUGACGCUGAUGCGCGAAAGCCAGGGGAGCGAACGGG